rnacentral:lncRNA from 1 species
CUAUCUCCGUCCCUGAGCCCUAUUGAGAUUUCCCUUGUCCAUUUUUAUAGGACCACUAUCGAAUUUUCAACUGCAUUAAUUAUUUCUUUUAAAACAUGCCCCUGAUUAUGUUACAUCUUCUUCUGCAAAAUGUAAUACAUACGAUGAUCGAAAUAUAAACCAAUUCUCUAUCCUGAAGGGUAAACUAGUUAAACAAUACCAACUUUCUUAAAAGUUUUUGUGAUUUAGUCAACGGGAUCCUAUAUUAAGGGACGGAGGUAGUACUAUUUAUUAAAAAGUAAAAAAUUUAACACCUAGAAGCAUUGCAGAAUCGAAAAUAUUAUUUGACAAACAUAUAUAAGAUUCACUCAGGCCAACAAAUGGCUCAACUGUGGCAUGAUGCAUGUAACCAUAAGUUAAACCCAUUAUGAUACUGUAUACCAUACCGAAGCAUAUUAAAACUAACUAUAGAAUGAU